AUAGGACUAUUGGACAUUCCCUGUGGGUUUCUCUGUGCAGCCCUUGCUGUCCUGGAACUCGAUCUGUGUAGACCAGGUUGUCCUGGAAUUCAGAGACCUGCCUUUCUCUGCCUUCCAAGUGCUGGGAUUAAAGAUGAAUACAGCACACAUGGCCCUUCCACCCGGAGUUACAUCGAUGAAUGCCUUUGGACUUGAGAAGCCCACCUCCCACAGUUGGCACACUGCUGAUCAUUUUGAUAAUACCUACUCACUGUUUCCCCCCUCCAGCUUUCCCCAAACCACUCCCAACAUGUCUCCAUCUCAAUGUCAUGCCCCCAAUUUUUUUCCUUUUAAAUUACCAACUGAGUCUAAUUAGCAUGCCUCUAUGUCCAUGCACUAGAGCAUGAACCUACCAGAGGCCGCAGUCCAAAGAAAAUGACCCUCCGUCCCUCAGCAGCAACCAUCUGCUAAUGGUCCUCAGCUAGGGGCGGAGCCUGGUGAGCCCCUCCCCUGUUUAUGCUGGACUUUUCCUGGCUUGAUCUUGUGCAGGUAACCAUAGCUGGUGUGAGUUAAUGAGUGUGGUAACUGUGUGAUGCGUAUAAGACAGUAUCUCAUGGCAUUCUACCCUAUUCCCCAGCAAUUAUGUUCUUUCUGAUCCCUCUUGCAGGACUUUUAGUGGUAGAAGUGGGAUUUAAUGUAGACGUUCCAUUUAUGAGCAAGAAGUCAGUCACAUAUUCUCAGCAUUUUGAACUGUUGUAAAUCUGUGUGAACUGCUGUAUACUGCAAAAGGAAGACCCUCAGACUGAGGUUGAGAGUACUAAUUUAUGUGAAUAAAUACA
rnacentral:lncRNA from 1 species